rnacentral:rRNA from 1 species
AUUGAACGCUGGCGGCAGGCCUAACACAUGCAAGUCGAGCGGAUGAAGGGAGCUUGCUCCUGGAUUCAGCGGCGGACGGGUGAGUAAUGCCUAGGAAUCUGCCUGGUAGUGGGGGAUAACGUCCGGAAACGGGCGCUAAUACCGCAUACGUCCUGAGGGAGAAAGUGGGGGAUCUUCGGACCUCACGCUAUCAGAUGAGCCUAGGUCGGAUUAGCUAGUUGGUGGGGUAAAGGCCUACCAAGGCGACGAUCCGUAACUGGUCUGAGAGGAUGAUCAGUCACACGGGAACUGAGACACGGUCCAGACUCCUACGGGAGGCAGAAGUGGGGAAGAUUGGACAAGGGGCGAAAGCCUGAUCAAGACAGGCGGCGUGUGUGAAGAAGGUCUUCGGAUUGUAAAGCACUUUAAGUUGGGAGGAAGGGCAGUAAGGUAAUACCUUGCUGUUUUGACGGUACCAAAAGAAUAAGCACCGGCUAACUUCGUG